UCCUACGGGGGGGCUGCAGUGGGGAAUCUUGGGCAAUGGGCCAAAGCCUGAUCCAGCACUGCCGCGUGUGUCAUGAUGCCCUUCGGGUGGUAAAGCUCUGUUGUCCGGAAAGAAAUCAUUGUCUUUAAUACAGUAGGGUAAUGACGGUACCGGAAGAAUAAGCCCCGGCUAACUUCGUGCCAGCAGCCGCGGUAAUACGUAGGGUGCGAGCGUUAUUCGGAAUUACUGGGCGUAAAGCGUGCGUAGGCGGUUUGUUAAGUCAGGUGUGAAAUCCCCGGGCUCAACCCGGGAACUGCAUUGGAUACUGCAGAUCUUGAGUAUGGCAGAGGGGAGUGGAAUUCCCAGUGUAGCGGUGAAAUUCGUAGAUAUUGGAGGAACACCAGUGCGAAGGCGCCUCUCUGGCCAAUACUGACGCUUGAGCCGAAAGCGUAGCACC
rnacentral:rRNA from 1 species